rnacentral:rRNA from 1 species
CCCUUAGAUGUCCUGGGCUGCACGCGCGCUACACUGAUGCGUCCAAUAAGCACCUAACCUAAUCCGAAGGGACCGGGUAACCUUAGCAAAGCGCGUCGUGAUGGGGCUAGACCCUUGCAAUUAUUGGUCUCCAACGAGGAAUUCCUAGUAAACGCAAGUCAUCAGCUUGCAUUGAUUACGUCCCUGCCCUUUGUACACACCGCCCGUCGCACCUACCGAUUGAAUGGUCCGGUGAAAUCUUCGGAUUGAGACUUUGAUUUCUUCACGGAAAACGCUGUUUUAAAAAGUUGAUUAAACCUUACCAUUUAGAGGAAGGUGAAGUCGUAACA